rnacentral:rRNA from 1 species
AGCUCCAAUAGCGUAUAUUAAAGUUGUUGCGGUUAAAAAGUUCGUAGUUGGAUUUCUGUCGGGGCCUACGGUCCGCACUACGUGCGUGUAUCUGUAGGGCUCUGGCAUCCUUCCGAAAGACGUUGCUAUGCUUAAUUGCACGGUGCGGAGUUCGGAACUUUUACUUUGAGGAAAUUAGAGUGUUCACGGCAGGCCAAUGCCAUGAAUAUAUUAGCAUGGAAUAAUAAUAUAGGAUUUCGGUUCUAUUUUGUUGGUUUCUAGGGCUGAAAUAAUGAUUAAUAGGGACAGUUGGGGGCAUUCGUAUUAACACGUCAGAGGUGGAAUUCUUAGAUUGUGUUACGACGAACUACUGCGAAAGCAUUUGCCAAGGAUGUUUUCAUUGAUCAAGAACGAAAGU